UACGAAGGGGGCUAGCGUUGCUCGGAAUCACUGGGCGUAAAGCGCACGUAGGCGGAUCUUUAAGUCAGGGGUGAAAUCCUGGAGCUCAACUCCAGAACUGCCUUUGAUACUGGGGAUCUCGAGUCCGGGAGAGGUGAGUGGAACUGCGAGUGUAGAGGUGAAAUUCGUAGAUAUUCGCAAGAACACCAGUGGCGAAGGCGGCUCACUGGCCCGGUACUGACGCUGAGGUGCGAAGGCCAGGGGAGCAAAGCGGG
rnacentral:rRNA from 1 species